rnacentral:pre_miRNA from 1 species
AUAUGAAUCACCUGGGAUCUUGUGAAAAUGCAGACGCUGAUUCAGUGAGACAGGGUAGGACCUGAGAUUCUGCAUGUUUAGCAAGCUCCCAGGUGGUGCUGAU